CAGUCUCUGAAAUGAGAAGCUAGCAGAGAACGAGAACACACGAGCGCCCAACUCCAACUGCAAGAACGGAGCUCUACGGAGGGACCCAUCACUGGGCGGCUGGGGCUGCCACGGGAAGGCGGCCAACACGCACACCCAGCCCGGCGUUCGUGGGGAAGAACAGUAACAGCCUCGGACGGAGGCCAACCCGACCCAUCCCUCGUCACUCCCCAAAAAAGGCUGGUAAAAGAACAGGACUGAGUAACAAAAAGACAAGACCUCAGGGAUUUUUCAACGAAUGCUAACAAGAAGCUUGGGACCCAAUCACCAGCAGAGAGCAGAAUACAGGCGGAUGGAGGGUCCAGCUCAUCCCCAGCAGGGCUGGCCUGAGUUCUAAGACUGGGCUCCGCCCUCGUGAAAAGCCUCUGCUCAUCGCCCGACUCGGCACCUGCGCGCCCACCCCGUCCGGGGGCAGCGGGGAAAGGAUACAUGAGGACACAAUACGAAGGUGGCCCUCUGCAGGCCAAGAAGAGACACCUCAGCAGAAACCACCCUUGACAGCACCUUGAUCUGGCACUUCAACCUCCAAAACUCUCCCAACUUUGGUUUUGCUUCUUUACUUUGGGAUAUUCUUAUGGGUUGAAUUAUGCCUCAUAAUUAUCCAAAACUUUGGACUCAGACACACACAGAUGGAAGACAAUGUGAAGACACAGGGUGAAAGCAGCGUGAAAGCCACAGAGAGAGGCCUGGAACAGACCUUCCUCUGAGCCUUCAGAAGA